CGAGUUCCAGCCUCCUCAGA
rnacentral:miRNA from 1 species